GAUAGUUAUGGAAGAUGGAAGUGGGUUUAUGUUUGCCCUUCUAUCUCUACAGUGCAGUAUGAUGGGUGCUGCAAGAGAAAACAAGUGACCAACAGGAAAGACUUGGAACUCCCCAUAUAGCUAGUCACUGUUCAAAGUGGUGUCCUGUCCCAGGCAGUGAUCAGGAAGCUGCAGAAAGCAGUGGGGACUGGAAAUUGAAAAGGAUCAAGGCAGAGGAGAGGAUCGUGGCAGAAUUAAGAUCUCGCGAGAAUGUAAAUGUAUUUAACUUGGUGAUGGGCGUUUUUCACAUUGUGCUGGACAAAGAAGGUGUUACCUUCGAAACGUUGC